UCACUGGGACGUAAGGGAUGCAGGGCCCCGGUGAAGUCAAGACAUGUUCCGUUUGAAGUGAGGCAUGCGUGGAGAUGUCUAGCAAGCAGGAGUGUGAGGAGUUUAGCAGAUUGAAGAGAUGCCAGUUAAAACCGUGGGCUCUAGCCACUGGGUUCAUUCUAUUCCGGGGAGUGGGUGAGUGUGGAGAUGUGGUCUUAGAUAGUGCUGGCUUUGAACAGUAGGCAGAGGCGAAGCAAGAGUCUGCAGAGGGGUGAAAUUAGAGGACUCAUAGGCAAAGGGAAGUCAGCAUUUUAGAAGACAAAAAACCUUAUGGAAGCCAGAGGAAGAAGAGCGUUUCAGAAACAACAAAGUCAGAUACAUGAAGUCUGGACUGAGAUCACAGAUGACCUUGAGAAAAGAGGAGAGGUCUUGGAACUUUGGGGAAAGUCAUUUCAGUGGAACAGACACUGGGUGGUUUGCAGAGGAAGUGUUCAGGAAGGAAGUUAGAACUGAGUGUAAGCCUUAAGACUGCUGCUUAAGAAACAGGCACACAGAUCCAAGACCCACGGGUGCAGAACCCAGCUUCCUUUAAAGUUGUGUGAUGUCACUGCAGAAACAUAGUCUUUACUCUGCUUUCCCCUCCCAGUCCUGCCUUAAAGUCCACGUCUCUAGUUCUCUCUUCUUCACAGUGUCUUCAUGGCAGUCUGCACCUCAUGACACCUUGUGUAUGUGGAAUCAUUAAACAUUUUAGUAAGAGUAAA